GCUAUCAGAUGAGCCUAGGUCGGAUUAGCUAGUUGGUGAGGUAAUGGCUCACCAAGGCGACGAUCCGUAACUGGUCUGAGAGGAUGAUCAGUCACACUGGAACUGAGACACGGUCCAGACUCCUACGGGAGGCAGCAGUGGGGAAUAUUGGACAAUGGGCGAAAGCCUGAUCCAGCCAUGCCGCGUGUGUGAAGAAGGUCUUCGGAUUGUAAAGCACUUUAAGUUGGGAGGAAGGGUUGUAAUUGACGUUACCGACAGAAUAAGCACCGGCUAACUCUGUGCCAGCAGCCGCGGUAAUACAGAGGGUGCAAGCGUUAAUCGGAAUUACUGGGCGUAAAGCGCGCGUAGGUGGUUUGUUAAGUUGGAUGUGAAAGCCCCGGGCUCAACCUGGGAACUGCAUUCAAAACUGACAAGCUAGAGUAUGGUAGAGGGUGGUGGAAUUACUGUAGGGCUCCAAUGCGUAGAUAU
rnacentral:rRNA from 1 species